rnacentral:ncRNA from 1 species
AUAUUAGCGAUGAAAAGACAGAGUAGGAUAAAGAUCGUCUUACAGAGAUUUUGGGUCACCGGCUGAGAGCCCAAUAGAAAUGAGUUAUCUGAAAACUAGCUUGGAGCAGGAUUUAGUAGCGAAAGUGAAAGUAUCCGGGUGAUUACCUUAUAAUCUUCAAGAGGAUGUUUUAUACAUCAACUUGGGUGGAACCGCGAGCACACUCGUCCCAAUU